GUAGAGGUUCUUAGCUACGGAGAUGUCCCUGCCAAGACCUAAAAGCUGGGAGAGAAGGGACACCCAGAAUACUGAGAACUAAGCAGGCCUGGAACAAUGCCAAGGCAGGAUACAGGUUAUCCAUAGUGUGUAAAAUCUACAUGUUUUGGAGCAUAUUUUUAUUCUUAAAAAAUAGUGCUACAGAUUAUGGUGGAUAAUGCAGGUGCCCCACCACAUCCCCUAGCUGCCGUGAAUGUUGACUGCUGGAUAGUAUUCCAUCUACCUUGCUUCUUGCUUCUCUCAUUCUUCUUUUCUUAAGAGAAGCACUUCAACAAGAAUUCUUCUCAGGCUCUGCUUUUGGGGAAAGCAACCUAAGACACAGGUUCAUGAUGCUCUCUCUGGCCACCUUCCAGACAGGAAGAAAGAGCAGAGGAUCACUGUGAGAGGAAUUUGAGGAUCAAAUCCUGAAGUGGAGUAGAAAGCAGAAGGCAACGUUAGAUGUAAAAAGAAAGACCUCAAAGCACUGUUGCUGGUAUGAAGAUGGAGUACUUGUGCUGCCGAAGAGAACACAACAACACACUCAGAGACAGAGCCCAUAGACAAUGGCACCAGAGGAUCUAGGAGCAGAUUUCACUCUCCCCAUCAAUUUACCUUCCCAUAUUUUCCCACCUUUUGGAAGCCUGAAGAUGCUUUCUUCUUUUUCUUGUCACUAUGUAGGAUUUAUGGCUGUUUGUUAAAAUAUUAUUUAAGCAAGGACCCUAAGCCACUGCCUUGAGAAAGAAAUACUUUUGAACUGAGACCUUAGGAAAGGUCUCAUCAGGAGCAUCAUG
rnacentral:lncRNA from 1 species